UGCACUUCUCAUACUUGGUUCAUCAUAUUUCAAGCUUACUUCUCUUUCAGGUUACCUCACCUUCCUAAUUCAAACCCUUUCAAUACCACUAUAACUCAUUACUACGGUUCUAGAGGGUAAAAAUAGAGGUUUAGAAGUUCGAAGCCAUGUUUAAAUGACAAAAUUAUAUGUUGCUGAGAAACAGAUUGUGUGCGUGCGCGCACUUGUACAAUUGUUCAUAGAGGCGCGUAUGCACUAGGAGGUGCAGACGCUCUCAACAGCAAGCAUUUGAGGGUUCGUUGCGCCGUCGUUCAUCUCCUUGUCACCACAAGCAACACCAUCAUUGUUGUCCUCGGUGGAGCUUCUGCUAUCUGGUAUAAUCUGAGAUCACACAUCGGAGGGAGAGGGAAAAGAGAACGAGAGUGAGUUCAUCUGAAACCCUAAAGCUUGUCGCCACCAUGGUCACCACCAGUCAUCUCAUUUCAGCUGCUUCCAUUAACCUUCUGCGUUCGAGUGAAGGCGCCUCCUCUAUCGACGCGUUUCCAAAUCUGGUCACUAUGCCAUAGCUUAUGAGAUUGAGCGAAGCACCUUUUCCAUUAAUGGGUCUCCUCCGCCAGCGGCGCCGGAAAGAUGUGAAAAUAUGAUUGAUUAUAUAAAAAGGCUUAAGGUUUGCAUAAGAUGGUUCCAAGACAUUGAGAUGAGAUACUCACUACAACAGGAGAGGUUGAAAAACUCAUUGGAACUAACACAGCAAAAAUGCAUGGAAAUUGAGUUGCUGCUAAAAAUCAAGGAAGACGAACUGAACUCAGUUAUCACAGAAAUGAGACGAAACUGGACUAAUUUACAAUAAAAGUUGAUCAAGGAAGAAAUAGAAAGGAAGAUAUUGCAUCAAAGAAGAAUUGAGGAUGACCCUAAAAGAUCUGGAAUCUCCCAUUUGCAUAGUAUUAUACAAGGAGUUAAUUUGCAAGCUAAUCAUGCUUUGAAGCCUUUGUUUGAGAGACAAGUGAGUGAAGCCUAAAUUUUACAUUUUCUUGUGGUAUAUUUUUUAAUAUUUUAGAGUAAGUUUUUUCCAUGAAUUUAUUUUAGAAUAAUUUUCUUCAAUUUCCAUUUUCUGUUUGAUAAAAGUCCCAAAAGAUAUUGCUCUUAUGAGUCAGUUGUGGCUGGGUGUUAUAAGACAGAUAAUGCUCCUAUUUUUAUUAGAUAAAUCAUAAAUCAGAAAUGCUCAAAUAUAUUGGGACUUUAGAGAGAAUAUAAAGUUAAAAGUAUGUUCUUCCCUUUCAUGUAUGAGACUAUUAUAUUGAUUUAAAUCUUUUUAUUGGUUACUCAUGUUUGAUUGGUGGUGGUAAGCUAUAUUAUUUUAGAGGUUUAUUGAAAUUUCAAUAUACAUGUCACUAAGAUUAUUUCCAUUGAAGAGUCACCUUUCAAAGAAUGACAGUUGUUCCAGCAUUUACCAUGUGAUAUAAUAUUUAUGAAUUUUCUCUUCUAUUCCUGAACAACUUGUCAUGCUCUUUUCUUAUUGAAGUUAGUUUUUCAUAUGAUCUUGAUUCAGAUUUAGGUGGGGAUCUUAAAACAUGACACUGGUACAGUUUGCCUCAGUAAAUUUAGAAUAAAACAUGACUAUUCAAAUUGUUAUGUGAGAAAAGACCGACUCUACCCUGAUAAACAUUAUAUAUUCUGGAAGUUACUGAAAUCGUAUGAAUCUAUCAAGUAGUAUUGCUUUCUUGUUUUUUUGUUUUUGGUCUUCUAUCUGUAUUCUAAUUGCAGGGUGAUUUUUACACAUAUUUAUUCUCCAUGUAGCUUGAAAAUACUGUGAGGUUGCUGUUGGAUUUGGAACCAGAGUUGAUCCAGUCUGGCAUUAUUUGAAUACAGAUUUAAAAAUUUUGUUCGUACCCAUUGUUUGAAAUAUUUGUCAUUAAUAUCUACUCUUUCUUAUGUUAUAGAUAUUUAGUGCCACCAUAACCCUCUCUUCAUGCUUUAGUGGUUGGCAUUAGUAUAAUUCUGAAUAAGUAAAUAUUAAUUUAGGGGAUAUAUUUAUAAUACAAACUAUGUAGGUGCAAUACCCAAUCUAACAGUGAUUGGAAGUGAGUCAUACUAUAUGUAUAGUAUUAUGACCUGGCACUAACAUGAAUCUGAUUAAAAUUGUAUGGCAUGUUUAGUUACUAUUCCAUGUACGGCCAUGUUGAGAAGUUAGCUGAAGAGAUUAAAUAUAUAUUAAGAUUUCAUUCCUGAGGCUGAUGGUUUAUCUACAUAUGUGAAAUAUUAUAUUCCCUGCCACUUCCAAAUUUGUUAAUUAGUUUUUUUAGUUCAGUAUAUUUUGAAAAGGAGAAUAUAUAUUAAGAUUUCAUUCCUAUAAAAAUAUACUAAACUAUUUGAUUUGUUUGAUAAACUGAGUUUACAAAUAUUUAAAACUGGAGUGUUUAUCCUUUUUGGUCUAUAUUCUCAGCAAAGGGAGCCAAAUUGAGCCAAGACCAGGUACUAAUUAUUAGUAUUUAUCUCUCUUGAGAUAGCUAGUUAGUUGUAUUUGAUUUAUUAUUAAUAUUGUUAGUAGAGUUCUUGUCAAAUAAUGAGUUCUUAUCAAAUAGCAUAUUUCUUGUGAGACUGCUGGUUUAGUUUUCUAUUCUUCAAAAUGCUGGUAGUUUGCUAUUUAUUUGAGCAACUAUUUAUUUCUAACGUUCAAUUUUCUUUUUCAGGUAAUAUUUAUUCACACGGACAUGGACACGAACAAUGAAAAUGUUAGAAGGGCCGGUAGCAAACUUUUUGAGCAUCUCUUGGAAAACUCCCAAUGUAAUAGAACUAACAAUAUUUCUUAGUUUGAUACUUUGUAUAGGAGUUAUUACUUUUGAUUUGUAAUACUAAAAAAAUCAUAUAUUAUGU